rnacentral:lncRNA from 1 species
ACUCAAACCCAGCUUUGCCACCUCUUUCCCUGCUAACCACUGAAGGUUGCUGUAAUUAUUCUUCCAACGAAGAAUGUCCAGGCAGAUCAAUAAUGUCCUUAUCUUUAUACCAAUCUUUGUCCUGCCCAGGCAUAUCAAUAAUGUCAGCACUCCUUCGCAUUGUAUAAAGGAUGAGAAAUUUUAGUAGAUCCAAUUUUGUG